CCGGAAGGCUGCACGUGACGCUGAGGCGAGGAAAUAAGAGAAACAAUCUCACACACGUUUAAAAAAAUGAUUUUGCUAAAAAGAAGCGGUGGUAAGAGUCCUGCUGAAGACAGUGAAGGGAGCCAGAAGGUUUUCCGCAUCGCCAUGGAGACAGAGGAUUAUAAUGGAUGCCAGACGAGCCCCAAAUGCCGCGCCUCUUCCUACACAGCUCAGUCAGGGACAGCGUCCGGCGGGCUUUCGUCCUCCACGAUGUGUAGCUUGUCGUCAUCGUCUGAGUCGGAGCUGCUGGCCUCCAAGCCGCCGUUUACGUUCGUCACUGCGAGGGGGACAGAAAGUCACAUUAACACAUCGUUG